UACGGAGGGUGCAAGCGUUGUCCGGAUUUAUUGGGUUUAAAGGGUGCGUAGGCGGCUCUUUAAGUCAGUGGUGAAAUCCUACAGCUUAACUGUAGAACAGCCAUUGAUACUGAAGAGCUUGAGUACAGACGAGGUAGGCGGAAUUUAUGGUGUAGCGGUGAAAUGCAUAGAUACCAUAAAGAACUCCUAUUGCGAAGGCAGCUUACUAGGCUGUAACUGACGCUGAGGCACGAAAGCGUGGGGAGCGAACAGG
rnacentral:rRNA from 1 species